rnacentral:rRNA from 1 species
UACGGGGGGGGCAAGCGUUGUUCGGAAUUACUGGGCGUAAAGGGCUCGUAGGCGGCCAACUAAGUCAGACGUGAAAUCCCUCGGCUUAACCGGGGAACUGCGUCUGAUACUGGAUGGCUUGAGUGUGGGAGAGGGAUGCGGAAUUCCAGGUGUAGCGGUGAAAUGCGCAGAUAUCGGGAAGAACACCCGUGGCGAAGGCGGUUCUCUGGGACGGUACUGACGCUGAGACGCGAAAGCGUGGGGAGCGAACAGG